AGCGAACGCUGGCGGCAGGCUUAACACAUGCAAGUCGAGCGGGCGCGAGCAAUACGUCAGCGGCAGACGGGUGAGUAACGCGUGGGAACAUACCUUUUGGUUCGGAGUCAACGUGAGGGAAACGUUCAGCUAAUACCGGAUAAGCCCUUACGGGGAAAGAUUUAUCGCCGAAAGAUUGGCCCGCGUCUGAUUAGCUUGUUGGUGAGGUAACGGCUCACCAAGGCGACGAUCAGUAGCUGGUCUGAGAGGAUGAUCAGCCACAUUGGGACUGAGACACGGCCCAAACUCUACGGGAGGCAGCAGUGGGGAAUAUUGGACAAUGGGGCGCAAGCCUGAUCCAGCCAUGCCGCGUGAGUGAUGAA
rnacentral:rRNA from 1 species